rnacentral:rRNA from 1 species
UACGGGGGGGUGCGAGCGUUGUCCGGAUUCACUGGGCGUAAAGGGCGCGUAGGCGGCUGGCUCAGUCGGGCCUGUAAGUGCGGGGCUCAACCCCGUGAUGGGCUCGGGACGGGUCGGCUGGGGCGCGGUCGAGGGAGACGGAAUGCCGGGUGUAGUGGUGAAAUGCGUAGAGAUCCGGCGGAACACCGGUGGUGAAGACGGUCUCCUGGGCCGAGGGCCGACGCUGGAGGCGCGAGAGCGUGGGGGAGCGAACCGG